CCCGCGGCGCAUUAGCUAGUUGGUGAGGUAACGGCUCACCAAGGCGACGAUGCGUAGCCGACCUGAGAGGGUGAUCGGCCACAUUGGGACUGAGACACGGCCCAGACUCCUACGGGAGGCAGCAGUGGGGAAUAUUGCACAAUGGGGGAAACCCUGAUGCAGCAACGCCGCGUGAGUGAUGAAGGUUUUCGGAUCGUAAAGCUCUGUCUUUGGGGAAGAUAAUGACGGUACCCAAGGAGGAAGCCACGGCUAACUACGUGCCAGCAGCCGCGGUAAUACGUAGGUGGCGAGCGUUAUCCGGAUUUACUGGGCGUAAAGGGAGCGUAGGCGGAUGAUUAAGUGGGAUGUGAAAUACCCGGGCUCAACUUGGGUGCUGCAUUCCAAACUGGUUAUCUAGAGUGCAGGAGAGGAGAGUGGAAUUCCUAGUGUAGCGGUGAGAUGCGUAGAGAUUAGGAAGAACACCAGUGGCGAAGGCGACUCUCUGGACUGUAACUGACGCUGAGGCUCGAAAGCGUGGGGAGCAAAGAGGAUUAGAUACCCUGGUAGUCCACGCCGUA
rnacentral:rRNA from 1 species